CACCAGGUUGAUUCUGCCUGACGUCCCCGCUAGUCUCUGAGAUUAAGCCAUGCAUGUCUAUGGAACAAGGACGAACAGCUCAGUAAAACUGCGAUGAUUCAGUCUGUCUGUCAAGAUAACCACGCGAAAGUGUGGCUAAGAGGGGACAGAACAAGACGCAGGACUAUCAGUUAGUUGGUAGUGUAAUGGACUACCAAGACGGUGACGGUUGACGGGGAAUGAGGGUUCUAUACCGGAGAGGGAGCCUGAGAGAUAGCUCCCACGUCCAAGGACGGCAGCAGGCGCGAAAAUUGCCCACUGUUUGGAGGAGGCAGUUAUGAGACGUGAGAAAGAGUGCUUGGUAAAGAGAAGCAGGAGAAUUGGAGGGCAAGUUUGGUGCCAGCAGCCGCGGUAAUACCGACUCCAAGAGUGUGUAUGAGAGAUGCUGCAGUUAAAAAGUCCGUAGUCGUGGAGACGGAAAGAGAGGCGGAGCCUCUUUGAGAUGCUCUGGAGAAGCCAACAGGGGGCACAGUACACCAGGGCGAGAGAUGAAAUGCCAAGACCCCUGGUGGACUGAGCGAGGCGAAAGCGGUGCUCUUGUGGGGUGUUCGGUGAUCAAGGACGAAAGCUUGGAGGGAUCGAAAGUGAUUGAUACCGCUGUAGUUCCAGCAGUAAAAGAUGCCGACAUGCUCUGUGGCAACACGGGGCAGGGAGAAAUCUUAGAGUUCGGGCUCUGGGGAUAGUAUGCUCGCAAGGGUGAAAAUUAAAGAAAUUGACGGAGCUACACCACAAGGAGUGGAUUGUGCGGCUUAAUUUGACUCAACGCGAGGAAGCUUACCAGGGCCAAGUGCUGUGGAGAAAGGAGCAGGACAGAAGUGGUGCAUGGUCGUUGGAAAUUGAUGGGAUGACUUUGGCCUUAAAUGGCUGAAUGAGUGAGAUCUUUGGACAUGUUCCCACAGGAACAGGAAGGGGAGGCUAUAACAGAUCAGAGAUGCCCUUAGAUGCCCUGGGCUGCACGCGCAAUACAAUAGCACGUAGACGUAGAGAACAACACGUGCUGAGGUGGACUGUGCUCUGCAAGGGGCACACGAAAGAGGAAUUCCUAGUAAGCGCCCAUCACCAGUGGGCGUUGAGUCAGUCCCUGUAGCUUGUACACACCGUCCGUCACUAUCUCAGAUGUUUUUCGGGAUGAAGAGUCCAGGCUCUGAAUAACGGAAAGUAGAUAAGAUGUAAGUCGUAGCAAGGUUGCGGUCGAUGAACCAUUAGCAGGAUCAUAA
rnacentral:rRNA from 1 species